rnacentral:tRNA from 1 species
GCCUGGCUGGCUCAGUCAGUAGAGCAUGUGAUUCUCAAUCUCAGGGUCAUGAGUUCAAGCCCCACAUUGGGCC